rnacentral:rRNA from 1 species
AGCCAUAUAACUGGUAGCUUUAAGCGGCUCACCUUUAGCAUCAACAGGCCACAACCAACCAGAACGUGAAAAAGCGUCCUGCGUGUAGCGAACUGCGAUGGGCAUACUGUAACCAUAAGGCCACGUAUUUUGCAAGCUAUUUAACUGGCGGCGAUUGCGUACCCGACGACCAAAAUUAGGGUCAACGCUACCUGUAGGAAGUGUCCGCAUAAAGUGCACCGCAUGGAAAUGAAGACGGCCAUUAGCUG